UACAGGGCCUGGCCUUUUCCCACUCUUAAAAGAUUAUGCGAGGGACAGAGGAGAACCAGACCCAGCCACCCGCUACGUAUAAUAUCGCAGAAGAAGAGAAAUCGCUAAGAACGAGAAGUAGAAGAAAAUGAUCUACAGGAAAUGGAGUCUCCUUACUGGCCCAGUAGCAAUUCUCGGCGGCAUAGUCGGCGCUGUGGUCGUUGCCAACUUCGUCUUCUUCGAGCACGAUCCAUUCCUUAAGCCAGAGCAAAAGAAGCAAGAUGCACCACCAGCAACCAAGUAAAAGAAAAGAGGUGGACAGUUGGUGUUCAAUGUGAUUUAUGGCUGUAUCCGGGUCUGUGUUUUGCUUGAGUAUGUUUGUCAAGCACACUAACUUUUAGUCACAUAGUGGAUCUUGAAUUUUUAUUUGAAUAAUACUUCUGAGAUUCCGAAGCAAAAUUGACUAAUGAUAAAGUGCUAUAUUAGAAUUCGGUUACCUCAAUGAAGAAGUUAUUUCUGAAUCCAAAGAAUGACUUGUGUUGAAGUUGCCGUUUGAGCCCUAAAUUCUUAUUCGAAUAAUAUUGAAUUUGACUUGGUAGACUGGGAAU